AGCAGCCGCGGUAAUUCCAGCUCCAAUAGCGUAUAUUAAAGUUGUUGCAGUUAAAAAGCUCGUAGUUGAAUUUCGGUAUCAAUUAGUCGGUCGUGCCUCUGGUACGUACUGGUUUUAUUGGUUCCUCCCUUCUGACGAAACAUGAUGUCAUUAAUUUGGUGUCGUGGAGAAUCAGGACUGUUACCUUGAAAAAAUUGAGUGUUUAUAGCAGGCUAACGCUUGAAUACAUUAGCAUGGAAUAAUGAAAUAGGACGUUCGACCCUAUUUUGUUGGUUUCUAGGAUCGACGUAAUGAUUAAUAGGGAUAGUUGGGGGCAUUAGUAUUCAAUUGUCAGAGGUGAAAUUCUUGGAUUUAUUGAAGACUAACUACUGCGAAAGCAUUUGCCAAGGAUGUUUUCAUUAAUCAAGAACGAAAGUUAGGGGAUCGAAGACGAUCAGAUACCGUCGUAGUCUUAACCAUAAACUAUGCCGACUAGGGAUCGGAUGAUGUUAAUUUUUAAUGUACUCAUUCGGCGCCUUAC
rnacentral:rRNA from 1 species